CUCCCAAUAGCUCAGUUGGUUUAGAGCGUUCGGCUGUAAUUGAAAAUGUCCCCUUGUGGGAGUUGCCACCGAAAGGUCACCUGUUCGACUCAGGUUUGGGAGA